AAAUUUUGGGGUGUUACAGCUGCCCCUAUUCAAUCAUCAGCUAACCCGAGUAGGAUGAAAGCGAACAGCUUAUCAGACAAACGGGGUGAGCUGUGAUUGAAUACCAAAGACAGACCGAAAAUUUGCGCUCCGAGAACACCACAAAAACGUGGAAAUACACCGCGCUGUUUAUUUUUCUUCCGAUCCUCUGGCUGGAUCUGAAUCAGUCUUCUGGCUUAAUCUGGAGU
rnacentral:lncRNA from 1 species